UUACGACCAUAUCACGUUGAAACAUUCAUUACCGUAGGAUCACCGAAGGUAAGCAACGUCGAGCCUUGUCAGUACCUAGAUGGGUGACCGCUUGAGAAUACCAGGUGCUGUAA